UGCUGUUGGUCAAGGUUUGUUAAGUAAUC
rnacentral:piRNA from 1 species